UACAGAGGUCUCAAGCGUUGUUCGGAUUCAUUGGGCGUAAAGGGUGCGUAGGUGGCGGGGCAAGUCUGGUGUGAAAUCUCGGAGCUCAACUCCGAAACUGCACUGGAUACUGCCUUGCUCGAGUACUGGAGAGGAGAUUGGAAUUUACGGUGUAGCAGUGAAAUGCGUAGAUAUCGUAAGGAAGACCAGUGGCGAAGGCGAAGCUCUGGACAGUUACUGACACUGAGGCACGAAGGCCAGGGGAGCAAACGGG
rnacentral:rRNA from 1 species